UAAGCAAGAUUGUCUCUGCAGAGGCAGUGA
rnacentral:piRNA from 1 species